rnacentral:lncRNA from 1 species
CAGCGAGACUCCAUCUCAAAAAAUAAAAUAAAAUAAAACUAAAAAUAAUAUGGAAAAGUAGGUCCAUUCUGUCUUCCCAGAAGUGUAAGCCCUGUGCUGUUGUUAUUUUUACAUGUCCUAAUUUCCUACUAGGCUCUUGAGUAAAUGUAGACUCAGAGAGGUUAAAUAAUUUGUUCAAUAUUAUACUGCCAGUGAUUCAGCAAGAACUGGAUACAAGGCAUUUGUCAAAAGCUCACCCUCUUUUUCAUGACCCUAUACUGCUAAAUAAAUGUUUACUGGAAGAAUGAACCAAUGAAAGCAAGUUCCCUUCCUUAGUCACAAUAGUUCUGUGAUUUUUGUUUUAAAACUCAGGAUAUAGUGAUGUAUUUCUCGUUUUUUAUCAUGAUCAAAAAUGCUUGAAGUCUAAGAGCUUAGAAACCACUAGUCAUUGCCAUUUAGGAAAUUUCCUAGAAUCCAACUGUGUGGUUUCUGCCAAUAAUUUAGGUUUUAUGAACACUGGUUGUACAGUAUCGGGCUCUGCUCACCUCUCAACCUGUAGACUGAGACUCACGUGAAGUUAUCAGGAGAACUAAAUAAAGAAAACUGCAGGGGACUGUAAGUGAAAAUAUGAGAGACAAACUAAUCCUCAACACUCUUUAAUAUAGGGCUUUCCAGAUGAAAGCAGUAACAAAUGCUGUAAGUGUGCAAGUUCCUGCGAUGGUUGAUCUUACGUGUCAAUCUGGCCAGGCUAUGGUGCCUAGUUGUGUAGUCAAACAGUAGUCUAGAUGUUGCUGUGAAGACUCUUUAAAAUGUGAUUAACAUUUAUAAUCACUGGACUUUUAGUAAAGCUCAUAAAUGUCCAUGGUGUGGUGAGCCUCAUCUAAUCAGUUGAAGGCCAUAAGAGCAAAAUCUGAUUCCUCAAAGAAGAAGGAAUUUUGCCUGAAUUUGCAGCCUGCAGGCCUACCCUGUGGAUUUAGGACAUGCCAGUCUCCACAGUACUGUGGUGUGUGUGUUGCCAUAUAUGUAUCUGUGUGUGUGUGUGUGUGUGCACAUCUGUAUGGAGAACCCUAAUACAGCACCUUACACAGCACACAGUACCUGGUCUGUAAGAACAAGACAAUAAAUUUUAGCUGAAUCUGCAUCAGCUUUCUGUUUAUACUGCUUUAGAAGUAUCCACUCAUUAUUUGAAGAAGUGUGUGUUAGAUGCUUGCCUUAGGCAGAACAUUAUAUGUUCUCCAAAGGUAUAAAAUUGUUUUCUUUCCUUAAGUAGUUUCCAACUUUUUGUUUCCAAGGCAACAAAAAACAUUGUCUCAUUCAGUUUUCUGUUGCUAUAAUGGAAUACCAGAGACUGGGUAAUUUACAAAGAAUAGAAGUUUACUGGCUCCAGGUUCUAGAGGCUGGGAACACCAAGGGCAUGGCAGCAGCAUCUGGUGGGGUUCUGUGCUACAUUACCCCAUGGUGGAAGGGCAGAGGGCAGAGGGCAGAAGAGGAAAGGCAGAAGAGAAAGACAGCAUGGGAGACAGCAAGAAAAUGGAGGCCAAAACUUAUCCUUUUAUCAGGAAUCCACUCCCACAAGAUUGCACAGAGUUCUUGAUAUUGAAGAGUGAACCAUGUUCAAGGAAGAAGAGAUCACCCCAUAAAACCCUUCCAGCUUGUGUUACAAUCAGAUGCCUCUAAGAUGGACAAAAAAGGCACACAGAGAUAUUCCCUACUCAGGCUCUGGUCAAAUCUCUCUCCACUUAAUGGAGCAUGGCUUUCAACUGCACCUGGAGCAUGUUUGUAAACAAUGCCAUCAGGAAUAAAAGUGUUUGAAGCUGAAGCUGGGUCUUCCAUCCAAAUGUGGAAAGCGUGCCAGAGGACUGUCUUUCCCAUUCCCGCCCCACCUGCACAGCCAUAGACAAAGCUCAGCUCCGGGAUAAGAGGAAAAAGCACUGCCUGGACCUGUCCACCAGCAAGCGGACAUUGCUUUGCAUAAACAGGCAGAGGGGCAGGCACCUCAAGGGACUCGCAGAAGUGCCUGGGUAUUUUUAAAUACUUGAGGAGAACACAAGGAUGCCUGUCGGACAUCUCAGGAACUGCUAGCUCCAGGUAAAUUGGUUUUAACAUUAGGUUGCUAAAUUUCCUUCCAUGAUGUCAUAUCUUUGCAAAGCUUGGUUUUUGGUGACUGUUGUGAUAGUUGUGGGGGAAAAAGUGAUAUGUCCUAUCUAAUUCCAAGGUUUUACAUAUUGCUAGUGCCCAACUGAUGCACCUACAUAUCAUUAGUAAAUAAUUGUGGUUAUUUAAUAUUACAAUAAAAUAUGAUUUAUUUUCUUCCAAUUUGUACAUAUUAUUUUUUACCCAGCUCCUAAGUUGUUAGGACAUAAAUACUUAUUAAGGUAGUUGGACCCAACAAGGUCAUAAAUAGAACUGUUAGGUAUUUCAUGUGGCCUCAGGGCCCUGUGAAUAAGAUUACUAAGACAUUAAGGGUGCUGUGAACUGAAAAUGUUUAGGAACUGCUGAACUAAACUAUUCACAGAGGUGAGCUGGUUUAUUCCUCUCAAACAUCUUAGUCAUUUCAAGGCUGGGCAUGAUAGCUCACAACUGUAAUCCCAGCACUUUGGGAAGCUGAGGUCAGAGGAUUGCUUGAGGCCAGGAGUUCGAG